rfam:Calypte anna contig10625, whole genome shotgun sequence.
AGCACUAUUUUUAAACCUGUUGGUGGCAUUUCCUGACCACUGUGGGUUACGCUGUAGUGCAAAAGAAUCUCCUGGCUCUUGUGAGCACAGCUGAGUGCUCUGUGCAGCUGAUGCUCCUCUGAAGCUAAGGAACAGGA